rnacentral:lncRNA from 1 species
ACCAUAUGGCUGUAUAUGAAAUGCAAGCAAAUUAGUUUGUCUGAUAUUAAGGAGACAACCAAUGGUAUGUAAUGGGUUGUAAUUACAGAGAAAUUAGGAUAAGAAAUGAGGGUAAGCAGAUUGUUAAGGUAGCUAUAUAAAAUAUAGAGGUUAAGUUGGAAACUUUACUGCUGCACAAUCUCUUAAUACUAAACAAAGCCACAUUUUUUAUGAUACUACAAUGAAAAUAUUAAUAAAUAUUUCUUUAAAAAUUCCUCCAGUUAACAUAAAGUUCAAAAUACUCUGGUCACUUCAGAGCUAAUAAAAUCUAAAAAUAAAGGAGGAAUAGAAAUGUUUUUCUUUCAACCUCUGAGCUUUUUGCAUUGAGUAGGUGGAUUAGCAUCAAAUGGCAUUGCUCUGUCCCUCCUCUUAAUAAGCUGCUGUUCUCAAUUUAGUUUUUCAAAUGAUUGAAUUAACUUUACUAUAGGUGAUAAAAAAGCAGAGGGAAAAAUGAGGAAAAUGUGAAGGAUGGGAGAGACAAACAAAAGGGUUCUAGGAUUGUAUAGAACAGUAAAAGGAUUUAAUCAUAUAGAGUAAGUGCUAUAACAUUUUAAAAAAUUUUAAGAAGCAUUUACAAAUGAUGGCCGUAAAAGAUUUGUGGAAAUGUUGUAAAUAACAUCUUCCAUUUACUUAUUGUAAAAUAAUUCGUUGUUAAAAUGUACCAUUACAUUAUUUUAAAACAAAUUUAUCUCAGAUUGAAAACAGACUAACAUGUAGAAUAAAUUAAGGAAUGUUGUGAAUAUUUAAAUCAAGCCAUAAAUGGCAAGAGAUUUUUUUUUCAAAAUUAAAAUAUUAAAUUUAAUAACUUUAAUAAUUUCUGAGGUUUGUGUUUUAGUUAAAAGCAGGAGACUCAUCAUGAAAAGAUGCUUGAGAGUAUAAUUUUAAACCAUUAGUCCACUACAUUUAACUGAGCAUCUUCUAUAAUAGAAAUUCACUGUGAUAGAUGCCUGAACACAAAUACUAAUGGUGCAAGAUUAGGUGAGAAGAGUGACAUAAAGGCAACUAUAUGAGUUAGCAGAAGGAAGGAUUAUAGUCAACUGGAAAUGUUUAAAAAUUUCUGUAUUUGAGAUAAGUCCUGAAGUAUAGACAGAAGUGUGCAGUCAAGAAAUUGUAUAUUGACAUAGAGCUGGUGUUUGGCAGAGUUCAUGCGCUUGUGUGUGUGUGUGUGUGUGUGUGUGUGUACAUGUGUGUGUUUACAUAUGAAUGUAUACAUAAGUGUAUAUCAAACAUGUGUCUUGUAAAUAGUAUAAUACAUUAUAUAUGUAUAUGUAUGUAUAUACAUGUAUGCAUGCAUAUAUCAGGGAAUUUAAUGUAUCUUUUAAAAAGUCUAAGUUCUCUUUUACAUUCCAAUAAAUCAAUGUAAAAACCAUACUCUAGAAACAUUGCCUAUGUAGAAUUUUGUUUAAAUUAUCUCUUCCCAUUCAGAAUGUUACUGAAAGUUACAUGAGUGAAUGAGCUUACCUAGAGGUAGAGAUAAAACAAAGCAGUUGAUACUUUCUUCUGCCAUUGAAUAAGCAUUAAACAAAAUGCAAUUUUGUCUUUUUCCUCCUUCAGGCUUUUACUCUUGAUUAAGUCAUAAAAAGGACAGUUUCUCUCUUGGUUGUCCUAUGUUGGCAAGGUACAGGUUCUGUGACAAGUUUUCUCAGGGUCCAUUUUUACUUCUGUCAUUGCUCAGGAGACAAUAAGUUACUUCCUGUACAGAGUAAACUUUUCAAAGCUCAUAAGGAAUAACAUAGUUUUCUGUAUACUUGAAAAUAAUAGUUGAAAUUUCAAAAUUAAACCCUAUGGUGUAUUUUACUCUUAAUGUAUUGAAAUGUAUGUAAACAUGUAUUUAAAUAAGGAAGAUGACCAUUCAUGUGAGAUGUCUUUCUUUAAAGUAGAUGUUGCUGAGAAAAGAAAGGCAGAAGCCAGCCAGUCUCAAGAUGCACAGUAAACUAAUUUUUCCACCAUGACAUGGCACAUGGAAAAUAUGGCAUAUGUAUACUCUUCCGGAUGUUUUUCUUUAAAAAAAAAAAAUUAUUUUGAAAUAAUGUCAACCUUACAGAAAAAGAUACAAAAUUUGCUCCAGGAAUUUCUGUAAACAUUAUGUUAAUUAUUUCAUUUUAUUUUUCAGCCCCCAAAUUUAGCAACUUAAAACAACAAGCAUUUAUUAUCUUACACAGUGUCUGAGUCUGGAAGCACUUCAGCUGAGUGAUUCUGGUUUAGGGUUUCUCAUGAAGUUGUAAACAAGAUGUUGACUGGGGCUGCCUUCAUUUGAAGAACCUGGAGAAUCUGCUUUCAAGCACUCAUGGCUAUUGACAAGAGGCUUUGGUUCCUUGAUUUGACACAAGGACUUUUCUGUAGGACUACUCAUGGGACAGAGAAGCUAGCUUUCUGGAGAGAAGAGAUGGGGGAAUGGAGAGGGGUUAAGGGAGAGAAGAGAGAGCUAGAGAGAGAUACCUUUUACUUCCUUUCUGUCUUACUCUUUUUCAUAGAAGCAAAUUGCUAUAUCAAGGCCAAACUGAAAGGGAAAUGGCCCUUUACUUCUUGAAGGAAUAAGUAUCAAAGUAUGCACAUAUUUUCAAAGCCACCAACCCAGAUUACCCAAAUUUUAAUAUUUUAUUCCAUUUUUUUUCAUUCUCUUGGCUUCCCUUAUUAUUUACAUUUGGGGUGAGGGAAAACUUUUGAAAAAAAAAUAUCCUACUCUUGGACUAAUCCAUAAUUUUCAUUGCAUUUAAUUAUCAUAGUUUUUCCUCUUUUUUAUUUCUUUUUCCUUCUCUUCCCUUUUUUUCUUCCAUCUUUUUCUUUCUCCAUUGCUCCCUCUUUUCCCUCCCUCCCUCCUUUCCUCUUCCCUCCCUCUCUUCCUCCUUCCUUCCUUCUUUCUUUCCUUCUUUUUUCAUUUUUUGUUAUCAUUUAAAUUAGAACAGUACCUUAGAUUUUCUUAUUUUAUGUGACCUUAACCCUUUGAAAAGUAAAAAACAUUUAUUUUCCACAUUGUUCUUCAGUUCUUCUCUGUCUGAAUAUUUCUUAUAAUUUAAUACUGGCGAUGUGUAAUUUUUGGCGGAAAUACCAUAUGUGUGAGUCUCUGUACCCCUCAGAGCAUCGUAUCAGUAGGUACUUGUCUGUCUCUCUAAAUAUUACUACCUUUAAUAACUUGGUUAAAAUUGUGCCUGCCAGGUUUCUCUGCUUUUAUUUUUUUUUUCCUUCAUAGACAAUAAGUAUCUCGUAGGGAGAUUCUUUGAGUUUAUGUAAAUAUAUUGUUUCUCAUUAGUGUUUUAUUUUAGCAUGUUUGUUUUUGCCUGAAGGAUUAGUACCGUGGUGAUUUUCCAAUGAUAUUUGACUAUGUAUACUUAGGCUAAAUAUUUAUAAAAAAUAUAAAUGGUAAACUGUAGUUAGUAGAUUUUUUUUCUUGGUGGUAUAAGUAGGCAAUUAUGCAUGAGAACAUUUAGGAUUAAGAAAACAAGUAAAGAUAUCAUGUGUAAGAGGAUCCAUGCUUCUCAUUUUAAAGAAGAGAAUUACAAGUGCAGAAAGGGAGGAGGAUGAGAUAUACUCUGUGUAUGAGUAUCUACACAUGUUUUUCUUGGCUCGUUUCUCUAGAGGGUCUCAAGUCAGAGAUCCCAUUAGCAAUGAGCAUAUUUAGCCCCUAGAACCCAUAUUUUAGUUCUAAACCAACUAAAAGUAAGCAGAUUUGUUAGAAAAAUUGCUGACUUCAGGGCUAUGCUGGCAAAGUACCAAAGGACUAAAAUAUCUUGCCAUGUUAGAAAUAAAGAAAUGCUCAAAGAAUGAUGGAAGCACAUUGGAAGUAUACAAGAUCCAGCUUUAAGAGCCUUCCAGUGACCAAGUUAUGAGUACUUUGAGUAUAAAAAUUCACAAUUGUGGUAAUAGAUUAUUGCACAUAAAAUUAUUAAAUAAUUCUUAAAUAAAUAAAUGUAGAGAAGGGAAUGCUAUUACACCAAACUGAAAGCUAGGGGAAUGAGACCCUUUUAUAUUUUAAUAAGCCCUACAAAAUACACUUGGUAGAUUAAGCAAUUUAAUAAUUUGUGUUCACUUCAGCUAUGAGUGAUGAAUUACCCUGGGAUCGGGUUUUAUCCUGGAGAAAAUUCGCUGCAGGUAUUGUGCAAUUCUCAGCUUGUUGGUUUUCUUCCACAACCAUUAACCACAUAUGAACAUUAGUAAAACUGUCAUGAUAAGGGGAUAACCUUUAGUCACAGUAAAUUAUUUUAUUGUAUAUGUUUUGAACCCAUGUGUAAACUCUUCAUUAAUAACAUAUGAAAAACGCCUUGCACAAGGGCCUUCAUACUAUGUAUAAGACUUGAAUCUAGAUAAAAGCUACAAUUCUCAUUUCACUUAAAAUAGAAAAUCUGAUAAAUGCUGUUAUUUCUUUGCUGACAAUUUUAUCUUUGAAAAGUGAAAAAAGGUUAAGGGAACUGCUUCUAUGAACAAUUAUCACAAAAAAGGAAGUGAUGGUUGGUGACGUGAAAGUGAUGGAAACAGUUAGAGAUACUAAUCGUAUCAUUAAACUGUCUGAAACAGCUGUGAAAGGUAAUAUUCAUCAUUGUCAGGCUUGCACAAUAAAUUUGAGGCAAGAACAUUGUAAGAUUUU